UGGUGUAUAAAUAAUUUUCCACAGCUGGUGUAAAGAUGAAUAAAGCGUUGUGUUAGUGAUCACAGUAACAGAUGAUAAUGAAGAUGAGAGAGAACCAGAUGAUGAUGAUGAUGAUGAUUCUUACUAUUAUUACUGAUUGUUAUUAUUGUUAUUGUUGUUAUUAUUAGUCAGAAAGAGCAGAACUGUACGAGGAACGUUUCAGCGCUUUAGCGCCGCCUGUGGCUGUGGAGAGUGAUGCAGCGGUGAUGUCAUAGUAAGCUGCGAGGCCAACCCUCGAAAGUCAGAAAUCGAAAGUCAGAAGUGCGCCGUUAGAAAGAGAGAAGAAAGCGGAGUGAAGAAGAUCUCGAGGUGAGUUUAUUGUGAACAGAAUUGAAUGUUGCAAGUUCCAGAGGACAGAGUGCAGAUGAACGCAGUGAAGUGUGUGUGAAGUGUGUGUGAAGUGAAUCCUCCAGGCUGGGUGGGGUCGCGGAGGCCCGUUAUAGCGCCUUCUAGCGCCUUCUUUUCCUCUCACAUCAUUUCCUCUGUUCUUCCUCUUCUACUGCACACACUAUUGUACACUGUAUUCAUCACCGCGGUGCUUUGAUCUGUUUACAGUUACAUUUCACAUUCUUUCACUACAGCGCUUCUUCUUUAAAGACAAAUUGCUUUGGUUUGAUGUGUUUCCUCAGUACACACGUCCGUCAUCAGGGAGUGGAGCUGAGACUGGAGCUCCAGGAAAACACUGUGGAGAGAAACUGACCGACAGCGCCAUCUGCUGGGUGGAACAGGAAGUUGCUCAGCUGCAUUUGGGAGAAAAUAUAAAUAAAUAAAUAUCCCGAGUCUAUCUAUCUAUCUAUCUAUCUAUCUAUCUAUCUAUCUAUCUAUCUAUCUGUGUGUGUGUGUGUGUGUGUAGUGUACACACAUACAUAUACAGUAUUAUAUGUACACUACACACACACACACAUACAGUAUUAUACGUACACUACACAUACAUACAAUAUUAUACGUACACUACACAAACACACACAUAUAUACAGUAGUAUAUGUACACUACACACACACAUAUACAGUAUUAUAUGUACACUACACAC
ensembl:lncRNA